rnacentral:lncRNA from 1 species
CAUAGAGGGCUGGGGGUGUGGCUCAGAGGUGGGGCUCUUGCCUAGUAUCUCCAGUGGCUGAGGACAUGGCUCAGAGGAGGGUGUCUCCUCCUCUCCUUGAGGCUCCGGCUGCGCUCAAAAAGCCAGGCAUCUGACUCCCAAGGAGUGCAGACUGGUGGGACUGUGGAGUGUGCAACCAUGUGAGAUGGAGGUUUGCAAAGUGCUGCAAGCAGUUGAGACAACUUGAAGGCAACUUUGGGAAGCACUGAGGCUGUACUCUUCCAUCAUCUUGUCUCCCUGCUCCUGAAAGGUGAUGAUGAUCAAGGCCACGAAGAUAUUGACAAAGAAGAAGGGAAACACUACAAAGUACACCACGUAGAAGAUGGACAUCUCCAUGCGGGUCUCCUGAAGUAGCCCAGGGGGCACCCCAAAGAGACAACAUGGGGAGGGAGAUGAGAUGUCCCCAGCAAGAGUACAGAAAGCAGCACAGCAAGAGGCCACCGCCUUGCUGUGGGAGGAGUGGAAGGCGCUCUGCUUCCUUCCUUCCGUCCUUCCUUGAUGGUGAUGACAUGCACAAAGCCAGCUGCAGCUCCACUGGGACAGAACCCCCCGCUGGCCCACAGCUCUCCUUCCCAUCUCUGAACCCCAGAAUAAGACCCACAUCUGGCAGUGGGACUCAGACCAGAGCUGGGGAGGGGGCUUGCAUGGAGACUUACGUGAAGGCAAAGGCCACCAGGGCCCCACUGACCACUAUGAAGUCCAGAAUGUUCCAUAGGUCACGGAAAUAGGCCCCCUGAUGCAAGACGAGGCCCAGGUCGAUCAUCUGAGUAGGUCAUGUAUCAGCAAUGUUGCAAGAAUCUGUCCAUCUCUUAAUUCCUCCUUGGUGGCCUGUGGUUCCUGCCCUUACCAUGGCUGACUUGGUUCCUGACAAUCUCCUCAUCGGUCAGCAGACAG